rnacentral:rRNA from 1 species
UACGUAGGGUCCGAGCGUUGUCCGGAAUUAUUGGGCGUAAAGAGCUCGUAGGCGGUCUGUCGCGUCGGCUGUGAAAACACGGGGCUCAACUCCGUGCCUGCAGUCGAUACGGGCAGACUAGAGUUCGGUAGGGGAGACUGGAAUUCCUGGUGUAGCGGUGAAAUGCGCAGAUAUCAGGAGGAACACCGGUGGCGAAGGCGGAUCUCUGGGCCGAAACUGACGCUGAGGAGCGAAAGCGUGGGGAGCGAACAGG